rnacentral:lncRNA from 1 species
AGUUUAACUUAUUCAUUGAUUCUGACAAGACCACUGCUAAAUCCUUGGCUCCCAGUCUGCCUGUAAGCAUAGGUGAACUCAUCUGACUUGGCACAUUUAAGGGAUUUAACACUCCUUCUCUUGAGGUGAGCUUUCCCAGCUGAUCCCAGGAGUGUUGCCACAAAACUAACUUAUACCUUUUUAGCUCCAAGUCCCCUUCUCUGGGUCCCCUCUGUUUUCCUGCCACAAGGAGAAGCCUUUCUCAACCUCACCCCCUGUGAAACAGAUCUGGCAAGACCUCUGUACUCCUCAGAGUGCUCAAGCUUUGAAAGCACACACACUAUGUUGCUUUCUGUCAAUUGCCUCCACAGCUAGCAGCCAGUAAGUGGGGCCAAUAGACAGAAUACACGCAUACAUCCCAAAUGAGCCAAGGAGGCUUAGCUACGAAUAUGGAAAAUGAUGAUACCUUCUUCUUCAUUCACUUAACCUCAGAACACUCAGAAUCUGCUCUGGAGAGACUCUGGGGGCCCUUCAGGAGCGGCUGAGAAGCACACCCCCAAAUUGUUCAGGUACAUAGAAAACGCAGUGGUUUGUGCAGUGAGAAAGUCCUUAUGCCUCAAAACAAGACUUAAGGCUCAUCUGGCUGCCUAUGAUCUGAUUUCACAUUCAUUGACACCCCAUUGGUCUCUCUUCCACCUCCCAAUUUAAUUAAGAUAGUUGGUGUUUAUGCUUUUUUGAAAGAUUACCCACAGCAUCCCGGAGAAGAUUUACAAAGUACCAUAACUUCCCAUGAAUGGUUGACAUGGCUCUCGGCGGCGUGACCUAACAGCAUUUCCUUUACUUCCCUGUCAAACCUUUCAUAGCUCUGGGCUUUCACUGAACAUUACUGUAAAUAGUUGGGACAGUGACAGCAUGUACGUUCAUGCUUCCUUCCUUUCCAUCCUGUACUGCGUUGGCGCUCUGAGUCUUGCCCCGCAGCAACUGCCUAGCUGAGGCUAUUCAUUCACUCAAUAUCCAACUCCUCUGGCAAGAUGCUGAUGAGAGGAGGCAGGACACUGCUUAACCUUUGCCUCCAAGGUCUGGAGACAAGAUGUUGACAUCGGAAACGUUGAACUGAGGCCCAGUGAGAAGUCCAGAGAACAUGCAGGCCACCGUGAGUGGCUUAUUUUUGGUAAUCCUUGCUUGAGUUUUUAAGAAGAUAAACUUAGCGGCUACCAGACUAGUUCUAUACUAGACUCAGCCAUGACUGGUUGUGGAAGCCAUUUUCACAUUUAGAGCUCUUUUUGGGCACUGGGGCAUGCCAUAAAUAGUUGCGUCAGCGACAGCGUGCGUGUUCAUGCCUAGCUUAGGCUAUUCAUUCACUCAAUAUCCAACUCUCCUGGCAAGAUGCCGAGUAAUCAGAGUAGUGGUGUGAGCAUUGGAAAGACUCCCUGCUUGGGGAGGUAGACUUGGUGGAGACCUAGACUUCAAGCCGCCUUUCUUUACCUGAGUCUGGGCUAUUGUCAGUGAGAAGGAAUACUCUUAGAUUCUGUUUUAGCACCGUGAACACAAACUUCAAAACCCCUUUUGCCUUUCUUGGUGGAAAGUGUCAAGCACAAGACCUUUUCAUACUGACAUGUAGAGUCAGCCGAGAGAGCACUAUUUAUUUUAGCCGUGGCCCAGGUCCUCCUGGCAUCCCCACUGGCCACUGCUGGAAAGUUUCAGAGAUAGCAACUUGUGUGUUUCUCCAGGGUUUUCAGUCCUGCUCAAUGCAGCGUGUGGAUGCUGCUCCCUACACAUUAGAGUUUUUUAAAAG